UACGUAGGGGGCUAGCGUUGUCCGGAAUCAUUGGGCGUAAAGCGCGUGUAGGCGGUCCGGUAAGUCCGCUGUGAAAGUCGAGGGCUCAACCCUCGAAUGCCGGUGGAUACUGUCGGGCUAGAGUACGGAAGAGGCGAGUGGAAUUCCUGGUGUAGCGGUGAAAUGCGCAGAUAUCAGGAGGAACACCAAUUGCGAAGGCAGCUCGCUGGGACGUUACUGACGCUGAGGCACGAAAGCUAGGGGAGCAAACAGG
rnacentral:rRNA from 1 species